rnacentral:rRNA from 1 species
ACACGGCGAGACCGCGGACGGCUCAUUAAAUCAGUCGUGGUCCAUAUGGGCUAGAGUUUAUCUUACUUGGAUAACUGUGGUAAUUCCAGAGCUAAUACAUGCAACUGAUAUCCCGAGGAUUUGUUGGUGGCUUACGCUGCUCGCAUUGUUCCGACGGAUGCUUUUAUUAGACCAAACCGCUGAGUGCGUGUCGUUAACCCGGCACGUAUGACUCGUUUAAUGGUGACUCUGGAUAACCUUAUUGACAAGCGCACGUACCCCUUGCUGGGACGGCGCUGCCGCUUUCGAGUGUCUGACUUAUCAGCUAUCAACCGUUCGUUAUGUGCGACCGAUGGCUUUGACGGGUAACGGGGAAUCAGAGUUCGAUUCCGGAGAGGCAGCCUGAGAAACGGCUACCACGUCCAAGGACGGCAGCAGGCACGCAAAUUACCCAAUCCCAGCUCAUGGGGGAGGUAGUGACGAAAUCUAACGAUGCGGGCGCCCUUUCUGGGGCCCCGCAAUCGGAAUGGGCACUUUCUAAACAACCUGUUGAGAACCUACUGAAGGGCAAGUCUGGUGCCAGCAGCCGCGGUAAUUCCAGCUU